rnacentral:lncRNA from 1 species
CCCAUAAAGGGCUCCUAGCAGGCAAAAGCGUGACAAGCCUUAGCCCUUUAAGGCAAAGGAACAAAGGGCUUUAAGAAUUGAAUAGAAACAGAACACUGUGUUGUUCACGCAAGGCAUGCAGUCAUCAAAAAUAAAAUUCUAGGUUCUUUGCCAAUCACUAAUUCCUGAACUCAGGUAUGUAAAAUUCUCUAUUGUCAAUUAUCCUACAGUGGUAAUAAGUAAGAAUUGAAUAGUUAAUUCCCUUCUUCCUCUAUAUCAACAGUAAAUUACAUGCUUAGGUGUGAAAUUUUAAAAUUAAUUAAAAUUCACUCGUUAUUGUAGAAUCAAUUAUUUGACGGGUAUAAAUUGGACUGGGGCCUACGUAUUGGCUCAAGGAGUUUUGAGGUGAGUUGAUAUAAUCCUUUAUUAAAGUAGUUUAACUCACAAAAGGACGCAUACAAGGUGUUUGAUGAAUUGCUUAAAAGAGUUUAUAUGUACUUAAUUAGAACGAGUGAGUACCUAUUAACUUAGAAUUGUUCUAGCUAAAGUUUAGAUGAUUUAUUAUUAUAUACGUGCAUAAAUUUUCAGAUUUUUGUGUUAUUCUUAUAUGACAUUUUCAUGUUGAAAAUUCAUGAAGGAGCAAGAAUCUUUAGAUAUACUUUUAAAUAUUUAUUUCAUUCUUAUGACAUGCUUUACAAUUAAGGAUUCAAGUAUGAGUAUAUAUAGGAUGUUUCAAAAAAGAUUUAGACUUGAAAAGUCACAAGAAGAAGUUUUAAAAAGAAAAUAUUUUUUGAAGUAUCCUCUAUUCUGAGAAGGGGUCAUCGUCCAGGCCGAGGGUCCUAAUCAAGGCGUUGACUUCCUGAAACUACUUGUGCCAAAGUAGGGAGCACACGAGCCGAUGGUCUCGUUGCUGAGAAUUUACACAUGAGCACUGAGAACCAUGAAGCGAGUGGCACCUCGUGGAGUAGGCCUAUUCGAUCAGGUUGGGAUCGAACUCGUACCGAUCACACGGUGACUGAGACAGAAUUAAGUCAGGAUAGUUGGAACUCCCGAAGUAUAAAGUGAAGUAUUUUUUUUUAUAAGAAAGAAGAAGAAAAGAAUUUCUUUUAGAAUAUUCAUAAACUGCUAUUAUGCAAUUAUUUUAGAAAUCUUCUUAGAAGCUGUAUGUCUUCCAUGCAUUUAGAAUCUUUGAUCAUAAUGUAUACUUUAUUAAUAUUUAUUCCCAUGUCGUUGAGACUCACUGAGUACAAUGGAUGGUACUGAUGUUCUCUUUUGGGAACCUACGUUGGUCUGCGGUACAACAUAGGAACUGGUUUUGCAGGCGAUCAGGCUACGAGUUAGGACUUCCCUCACUUCCAGUGCUAUUAGUGAGCUCCGCUUUUGUUCGUGGAGUACUCCUUUGAGUCGUGAUUAUUUAGCUAUUUCUUUGCUUACUUAGAGAACUGGACAGAAAAUCUCAUGUCCUGAGCAGUACGUCAGUUUAUCAGUAGAAGCUUCAUAGACAAAAUCGGUG